rnacentral:rRNA from 1 species
GAUCAUGGCUCAGGAUGAACGCUAGCUACAGGCUUAACACAUGCAAGUCGAGGGGCAGCAUUUUUAUAGCAAUAUAAAAGAUGGCGACCGGCGCACGGGUGAGUAACACGUAUCCAACCUGCCGAUAACUCGGGGAUAACCCUUCGAAAGAAGGCCUAAUACCCGAUGGCAUAUCCCUUCCGCCUGGUUGGGAUAUUAAAGAACUUCGGUUAUCGAUGGGGAUGCGUUCCAUUAGGCAGUUGGCGGGGUAACGG